rnacentral:rRNA from 1 species
CGAACGCUGGCGGCGCGCUUAACACAUGCAAGUCGAACGAACGGACGGGCUUCGGCCCGCGAGUGAGUGGCGCACGGGUGAGUAACGCGUGGGGAUCUGCCCUGAGGUCUGGGACAACCGCUGGAAACGGCGGCUAAUACCGGAUGAUGCCCCUUCGGGGGCCAAAGAUUUAUCGCCUUGGGAUGAGCCCGCGUCCGAUUAGCUAGUUGGUGAGGUAACGGCUCACCAAGGCAUCGAUCGGUAGCUGGUCUGAGAGGACGAUCAGCCACACUGGGACUGAGACACGGCCCAGACUCCUACGGGAGGCAGCAGUGGGGAAUCUUGGACAAUGGGCGCAAGCCUGAUCCAGCGACGCCGCGUGGGUGAAGAAGGCCUUAGGGUUGUAAAGCCCUUUCACCGGGGACGAUGAUGACGGUACCCGGAGAAGAAGCACCGGCUAACUCC